rnacentral:misc_RNA from 1 species
AGAAAUCGUAUGUCUGUUAAUUUAACCGAUGUGAUUACCUCUACCUAUCUUCUCCUUGAGCUUUAGCUACCUGGGGUGGGUAGGAUCCGAAGAUAUCAUAAGAUGCACAAGCAAACAAGGAUGCCACAGGAAUGACAAUCACAUUUGAAGAAGAUUAUUCACAGUGACUGUGACAGAAUUAGUACGCUGCAAGUCCUGGAAAAUCAACUCGUCAGGGACAUGAGGCAGAACUUCUCGUACUGUUUCAGCCAUGGCAAGUAUAUUGGCUAGAUUGUCAUUUGAAGCACGAGGUACAUUCAUAUUUAAACCACCCA